rnacentral:misc_RNA from 1 species
CCGAGUUUACAACUCCCAAACCCUUUGUGAACCUUACCUACGUUGCUUCGGCGGGUCGAUCUUCGUCCCGCCGAGGGCCUGAAACUCUUGUUUUGUUAGUGGUAUUCUCUCUGAGUGACACAAGCAAAUAAAUUA